rnacentral:rRNA from 1 species
CCCAGACUCCUACGGGAGGCAGCAGUGGGGAAUAUUGCACAAUGGGGGAAACCCUGAUGCAGCGACGCCGCGUGGGUGAAGGAGUAUUUCGGUAUGUAAAGCCCUAUCGGCAGGGAAGAAGCAAGACGGUACCUGACUAAGAAGCCCCGGCUAACUACGUGCCAGCAGCCGCGGUAAUACGUAUGGAGCAAGCGUUAUCCGGAUUUACUGGGCGUAAAGGGAGCGCAGGCGGCCUUGCAAGUCUGAUGUGAGAGGCCGGGGCCCAACCCCGGGACUGCAUUGGAAACUGCGAGGCUGGAGUGUCGGAGAGGCAGGCGGAAUUCCUAGUGUAGCGGUGAAAUGCGUAGAUAUUAGGAGGAACACCAGUGGCGGAGGCGGCCUGCUGGACGAUGACUGACGCUGAGGCUCGAAAGCGUGGGGAGCAAACAGGAUUAGAUACCCCCGUACUU